UGGGGAAUAUUGCACAAUGGGCGAAAGCCUGAUGCAGCAACGCCGCGUGAGUGAUGAAGGUCUUCGGAUUUGUAAAGCUCUGUCUUUUGGGACGAUAAUGACGGUACCAAAGGAGGAAGCCACGGCUAACUACGUGCCAGCAGCCGCGGUAAUACGUAGGUGGCGAGCGUUGUCCGGAUUUACUGGGCGUAAAGGGUGCGUAGGCGGAUGUUUAAGUGAGAUGUGAAAUACCCGGGCUUAACUUGGGUGCUGCAUUUCAAACUGGAUAUCUAGAGUGCAGGAGAGGAGAAUGGAAUUCCUAGUGUAGCGGUGAAAUGCGUAGAGAUUAGGAAGAACACCAGUGGCGAAGGCGAUUCUCUGGACUGUAACUGACGCUGAGGCACGAAAGCGUGGGUAGCAAACAGGAUUAGAUACCCUGGUAGUCCGCGCCGUAAACGAUGAGUACUAGGUGUAGGAGGUAUCGACCCCUUCUGUGCCGCAGUAAACACAUUAAGUACUCCGCC
rnacentral:rRNA from 1 species